rnacentral:rRNA from 1 species
GAUGAACGCUGGCGGCGUGCCUAAUACAUGCAAGUCGAGCGAACGGACGAGAAGCUUGCUUUUCUGAUGUUAGCGGCGGACGGGUGAGUAACACGUGGAUAACCUACCUAUAUUACUGGGAUAACUUCGGGAAACCGGAGCUAAUCCCGGAUAAUAUUUUGAACCGCAUGGUUCAAAAGUGAAAGACGGUCUUGCUGUCACUUAUAGAUGGAUCCGCGCUGCAUUAGCUAGUUGGUAAGGUAACGGCUUACCAAGGCAACGAUGCAUAGCCGACCUGAGAGGGUGAUCGGCCACACUGGAACUGAGACACGGUCCAGACUCCUACGGGAGGCAGCAGUAGGGAAUCUUCCGCAAUGGGCGAAAGCCUGACGGAGCAACGCCGAGUGAGAGAUGAAGGUCUUCGGAUCGUAAAAAUCUGUUAUUAGGGAAGAACAUAUUUGGAAGUAACUGUGGACAUAUUGACGGUACCUGAUAAGAAAGCAACGGCUAACUACGUG